GACGAACGCUGGCGGCGUGCUUAACACAUGCAAGUCGAACGGAAAGGCCCCUUCGGGGGUACUCGAGUGGCGAACGGGUGAGUAACACGUGAGUAACCUGCCCUUGACUUCGGGAUAACUUCAGGAAACUGGGGCUAAUACCGGAUAGGAAUCCUUGCUGCAUGGUGGGGGUUGGAAAGCUUCGGCGGUUUUGGAUGGACUCGCGGCUUAUCAGCUUGUUGGUGGGGGAGUGGCUUACCAAGGCUUUGACGGGUAGCCGGCCUGAGAGGGCGACCGGCCACAAUGGGACUGGGAUACGGCCCAGACUCCUACGGGAGGCAGCAGUGGGGAAUAUUGCACAAUGGGCGGAAGCCUGAUGCAGCAACGCCGCGUGCGGGAUGACGGCCUUCGGGUUGUAAACCGCUUUCAGCAGGGGCGAAGCUUGUGGUGACGGUACCUGCAGAAGAAGCACCGGCUAACUACGUG
rnacentral:rRNA from 1 species